rnacentral:rRNA from 1 species
AUGGAUCGCCGGAAGAAGCAAGCCACAGGCAACGGCGACAAGCCCUUGGCGCCCAAGGACGAAAACGUCGGACCGGACCACAUAGCUCAGAUCGUGAGCAAAUGGACAGGAAUCCCGGUGACGAGUCUGGGGACGGACGAGAGGAAGCGGCUACUGGAGCUGCCGAAGCGGCUGCACCGGCGUGUGAUCGAGCAGGACGAGGCGGUGAACGUGGUUGCCGAGGCCGUGGUGUGCUCGCGAUCGGGCCUCGGGGAGCCAAACCAGCCGUCAGGAUCGUUCCUCUUCCUCGGCCCCACCGGCGUCGGCAAGACGGAGCUCGCCAAGGCCCUCGCCGAGCAGCUCUUCGGCAAUGAGAAGCUGCUCGUCCGCAUCGACAUGUCCGAGUACAUGAGCAGCAGCUCCGUCACUCGCCUCAUCGGCGCAUCUCCUGGGUCGUAUGGGUACGAGAAGGGCGGGCAGCUGACGGAGCUGGUGCGGCAGCGACCCUACAGCGUGGUCCUCCUGGACGAGGUGGAGAAGGCCGACGCCUCCGUGCUCAACGUCUUCCUCCAGAUCCUCGACGACGGGCGCGUCACCGACGGGCACGGCCGCACCGUCGACUUCACCAACACCAUCAUCAUCAUGACCUCCAACCUCGGUGCGCACCACCUCCUCGCCCGCGCAGCCAGCAAGGACACGGAAGCCACCCGCAAGCGCGUGAUCGCCGACGUGCAGAGGCACUUCCGCCCCGAGCUCAUCAACCGGCUGAGCGAGAUGGUGAUCUUCCGCCCGCUCUCCGGCAAGCAGCUGCGGAGGGUAUGGAAUAUGCAGCUCAAAGGCAUCACCGCGCGCGCGCCUCGCCGAGAAGGGCGUCGGCCUCGACGUCACGGACGCGGCCCUCGACGUGAUCCUCUCGCGGUCCAGCGACCAGGUGCAGAUGUACGGCGCGAGGCCGGUCAAACGCUGCCUGCAGAAGAACGUCGUGACCAGGAUAUCCAAGACGGUGGCGUGUGA